GGGAUAUUGGACAAUGGGGGGAACCCUGAUCCAGCGACGCCGCGUGAGUGAAGAAGUAUCUCGGUAUGUAAAGCUCUAUCAGCAGGGAAGAAAGAAAUGACGGUACCUGAGUAAGAAGCCCCGCCUAACUACGUGCCAGCAGCCGAGGUAAUACGUAGGGGGCAAGCGUUAUCCGGAAUUACUGGGUGUAAAGGGAGCGUAGACGGUGAUGUAAGUCUGGAGUGAAAUGCCGGGGCUUAACCCCGGAACUGCUUUGGAAACUGUGCAGCUAGAGUGCAGGAGAGGUAAGUGGAAUUCCUAGUGUAGCGGUGAAAUGCGUAGAUAUUAGGAGGAACACCAGUGGCGAAGGCGGCUUACUGGACUGUAACUGACGUUGAGGCUCGAAAGCGUGGGGAGCAAACAG
rnacentral:rRNA from 1 species